CGGCAGUAAAUGGCGUGUGGGUGCGCGCUCAUCCGAAACGAUGCUUGGCCCCAGACCUGACGUCAACCACUUGGCCCCAGACCUGACGUCAACCACUUGGCCCCAGACCUGACGUCAACCACUUGGCCCCAGACCUGACGUCAACCACUUGGCCCCAGACCUGACGUCAACCACUUGGCCCCAGACCUGACGUCAACCACUUGGCCCCAGACCUGACGUCAACCACUUGGCCCCAGACCUAACGUCAACUGCAACAUUAACUUCUAUGAAUGUUUCGUCUGAGCGUCUCGACCUCAGGAGGACGUCACCAGUGACUUCAUAUCAUCAUCUGACUUUGGGCAAGUAGAUCACCUGACGGUAGAGCGUCCGACUGUCAAGUUUUUUUAUGGUUCAAGCCGCUCGUCCCCCCUUCUAUUUAUUCAUUGACAGUUCUUUAUUACAACUUAAUUUGAGCUUCAUAGAUCGUAAAUUUUCUAUUUGUGUCAUUUGCUCUUUUUUGGUGUAUAUGUCACUUGCUUUUUUUAGUGAAUCUUAUAUGGAUUUUUUUGGUGUAUAUUAUACUCGUUUUUGUCUUCGUGUUAUAAGUGAAAAUUUGCAUUUUAACCGAAAACGAAAUUAUUACUGCAAUUUCUAGCUACGACAGAUUGAGGAAUUUGUAGAAAUGUGAUUAUAAUCAUAUGUAUUUUUUUUUUCAAUUUGUUAAUGUAUUCUCAGAAAUGAAGCUUAUUUUUUUUACUGAUAAUAUUUCCCAUUUGUAAAAAUGUAUUUUGCAAAAUAAGGUUGUGGGAUCCCUCACACCUGGGAUCCCCUGGGAUAGCUUUCCCUUGUGGUCUUAAUGUCAGUUUACCACUGACUAAUUCUAGGGGUUUAUCACCCUGGCUACUCCAGGGUCUGCCACCCUCAUUACUUCAGGGUCUGCCACCCUCACUACUCCAGGGUCUACCACCCUUGCUACUCCAGGGUCUGCCACCCUGGCUACUCCAGGGUCUGCCACCCUCAUUACUCCAGGGUCUGCCACCCUCAUUACUCCAGGGUCUGCCACCCUCACUACUCCAGGGUCUACCACCCUUGCUACUCCAGGGUCUGCCACCCUGGCUACUCCAGGGUCUGCCACCCUCAUUACUCCAAGGUCUGCCACCCUUGCUACUCCAGGGUCUGCCACCCUGGCUACUCCAAGGAUUAUCACCCAGGGGAGACACCAUGGGGUCGCCAUGAUUAAUGUUUUUCUACAGAUUAAUGCUUUUUUACAGGUUCAUGU